UCUUACCAGUCUUGAAUCUGUGUGGGUAAUAACCAACCAUCUUGAGCAUCUGUCAUGUAACACUACAAUUUGGCAAUGCAUCUCAGUCUGCUUUAGAAACCAGGCCUAAAUUUAGCACCUGCCUCACACAGUCGAAAUUUGUAUUAUUGUUUCUGAUUUGAAAACAUUAAAGUAUAAUCCCAAACUUUAGAGGCAGCAGGAAACAUGGAAUGAAAUGCUAACACAUGUUGAUGACUGAAUUUGCCACCAGCAGGCUGAAUAAGCUGAAGCAACAUUCCUGAUGCAUGGAGCCUCAGUCUUUCCUUUUGACCAGAACCGCUGGUGUUUUGUUUCUAUCUGAGAGCAGGGAGACUGAUAUCAAGGUGAAACAACCCUGUUUCUCCACAAGGACAUCGAGAUACCAUGACUUCACUCUAUUCCCACUUUCAUAAUGGCAAAAUUACCAAGCAGAGGAAUUUGAAGCAGCAGCACACUGCCCAAAUGGCUGAAAUGAAAUGGUGUUAUUCCACUGGAAAAAUAUUGACUAUAAAAUCCUGACCUUGGAAAGUGGACCUGAAGAGAGACUCACAUUUAUUUCCAGUGUGUUGGAUGACUGUGACUCUAACUAAAUGGAACAAUGUCUUCAUCCAUUUUUGGUACUCAGGUUUCAAGUGGGUUGCCACCACAGAUAUGCAGCAUUCUGGGAACAAUGGAUGGGUCAAAGUGAAACCCAUCAGGAAGCACCAUUUCUCACCCAAAAUGGCCACAGGUUAGAAAGGAAAUUCAAUCAAGGCACGUCAGAAUUUUUCACUAGAUAUUUUCCAAUGGUUUCUGGAACGAUAGAAAUCCUCUCUCACCUUAAGAAAUAAGAACUCGAAACUGGGUGAGGCAGCUACCUUUCCUCUCUAGGGGAGAAAGCCAGUUGCAAACAAAAGAAACAAGGCUGACCAACAAAAAGAAGAUUCACAAACUUCCAUGUCACUGGCAUCCUCAAAACUUCACGGUGCUCUUUGUAACAAUGAAGUUACUCAGCCCUGGUGAAUUUUUCUCUAGGAAGUCUGGUGUGACCCUUCCAGGAUUGAUUUAGGCUCUACUUUCCAUAUUUCUACAGAACUCGUGUCUAUCUCUGUUGUAGCAUGGACCACUGUACCGUGAGUUACCAAUCGCUCUUCUGUCUUCACUACUGGUCCAUUAGAGCCAGAGAGCUGGCUUUGACUUUCAGUUCCUGCUACUUCUUGUGCUGAACAUUUCUUUGUCUCUGCGACAAAAACAUGUUAUUUUUGUCUCACAGCAGUCCAUAGGUAUGCCAUAAUAGUUAAAAUUUUAUUUUGAUGUGUCUUUAUGGUUGUUUUGAUUGCUCUGUUUAAGAUUUGGUGACUUCAGUCCAUCCACA
rnacentral:lncRNA from 1 species